rnacentral:tRNA from 1 species
GGGUGUGUGGACGUUUUUUUGCCUGAAUCGGCUCUGACACACAGCGGUUUUUGUGCGGGUUCGAAUCCCGUCACCCUCG